UUGGGAAAGAGCCAAAAAGAAAAAAGUGAAGUGCAGAGAGCUUCUUUAAUUUCCUUUCACACUAACAUCUUCAUCUUCUUCUCAAUUCACAGUAUGUUAGAAGGCAAAGCACUGAUUGAAGACACAGACAUGCCUGUAAAGAUGCAGAUCCAAGCUAUGUCAUACGCUUCUCAAGCUCUUGAUCUGUAUGAUGUUUUAGACUGCAAAUCUAUUGCUGCUCACAUCAAGAAGGAAUUUGACAAGAAGUAUGGAGGUGGAUGGCAAUGUGUGGUGGGAUCAAACUUUGGGUGUUUCUUUACUCAUACUAAAGGAACAUUUAUCUAUUUCACUUUAGAGACUCUAAAUUUUCUCAUUUUCAAAGGAGCCUCUUCUCCUUGACAAGAUAUUAUAGGCCCUUUCGAAUUAUAGCAGGAGAUUUAGUGCAUCGUGCUGUUAAGUCAUUCCUCUUGUUUUUAAAAGCAAGAUCUGGUCAUUUGUAUGUUUUCAAAAGAGAAUGUUUUAACUUUUAGUUAUGUAUAUAUCCAUGAGUAGAUUAAAUUUAAUUAUGUUCACUCACUUUACUUAUCAAGAGGAUUAUGAUGCCUUUGAUCAUGAGAGUGACACUUUCUAGGUUUGCCUUAAUUAAGUCUCAGAUUUGGUGAAAAGGGAGUGUUGAAGUAGCUUUGUUCACAAAGUUGAAUUUGCCAUUUUAGAAUCUCAUUGCAUAUAUUCCAUAGUCAAUCAUAAGCUUUGUAGGCCAUGUCUAUACUAGAGGUGGUCACUAUGUCUAGGACUUUACAGCUUGUUUCUAUGGUUGUUACCUAUUGUAUUAUAUUAAUAUUAUAAUAACAUAUUCAACAAUUAUUAUUUAACAGAGUGAAAUUUGAAAAGGGUAAAACACUUACUUCUAUUUAGAGGUAGAGAAAUUGUUUCAAGGGAAAAAUAGUUCAAAGCAGUUCGAAGAAGCAAUAGAAGUAAAAAAGAAAUAGUAGAUAGUAACAAAA
rnacentral:misc_RNA from 1 species